rnacentral:pre_miRNA from 12 species
UCACUCUGACCUUAGAAAUCAAGCUUGGGUUAGACCUGGUUUUUAUUCACUGAGGCGACCCAUACUUGGUUUCUGAGGCUGAAGUGC